ACAGGCAUUAGACACGCUCUACAUUUCACUGCUACAUUUACUCUCACCAUUAGAGGUCUCAUAUGCCAAUGCUGAGAAAAUGGCACUACUAUAAUGGGAGACAGGCACAGAAAAAUACAGGAAAGGGGCAUACGUCUGCUUAUAGUGACAGCAAAGUCCAAAAGUAUUAGAGGGAGAUUGAUCUCUGAAUGACAACAUGUUUCGAGGUGUAAAAACUUUUCCUCAGAUAUGAGAACUUCUCCCUCCCUGGUCAUUCUGCUAGAGCUAAGUAUUCCAUACCUGAAUUCUACACAACAUCUAGUCACCCAAACAAUCUUGAUCUUAGCACUCAGCUUUCUUUAAAAGGGAACUUCAGUGGGAAAAAAAAAUUCAAAUCAACUGGUGCAAGAAAGUUAAAGGAAAGGAAAGGGUUAUAUUAUACAACCCUGAAACGCGUCUAGUUAUUUAUGCACAAUAACUGGCAUAAUACUAUUCUUGGAGAACUGUGCCCAAACCUCAAGGCUGGUUACCUCUUAUGAACAGUACCACCAUCAGCGCUCCUACUUCGUUGUCUACCCGGUCCAGCAAUUCAAAUCCAUCCCGGUGCAGCGAUCCCAGCUCUGACCACAGCUGACGUCAGACGCCGGCAACACGAGGCGAGCCCUCUGCAUCCAGUAUACGGUCCUGAUCGUCAACCAGCUAGCGGUGAGAAAUUUACCAACUCCAGCGCACGCCAGCGCCAGCAGUCCCCGGGCACUAUUGUGAUCUUCGGCACCUGCCAGCGCCUCAGCCGUCAGUGACUGCCACCGCUCCCACUCGGACUUUACUGGACCAAGCCGCCUAUGUUUGGAAACGCUGCACAGAUGACCUAACGCACCACAGACACCCAGACAUUGCGGGAAUAACACCUAUUGCAUGGGUUACCAUUACAAAGACCGGUACCAGUGGAUUUAAAAGCCUUAGUUUUCUCCUUAUUUCCGGAGUUCCCCUUUAACCUGUAUACCAUCAUCAAUACUUCUAGAUGUCACAAGAAGAAAAAAGUAGAGCCUGUUUUGUAUUUUUCUCUGCAUGUCCUUCCUGAUUUAAGGCCAUUUGGAUCCAGUGCAAAGAUGGAUGCACACUGAGUGACUGUACACAUGCAUACAUUACACGAUCGUUGCUGCAUCCAGGAUAUAAGCAAAAGAAAAUCAUAUGUUGAAAACUAUAAAAUUGCAAGUUGCUGCUAUGUUUAUCUCACACACACACAAAAAAAAAAAAAUUAAAGCCUCUGGAGGUGGUCCAGACUGCUCUGCAGAAUCUUCACCCGUUCCUCAGGCUGUCUAGGGUCCACUAGAACCGAAGCUGAUUUCUUCAUACAAACUGGAACCUCUCCAUACACUCAACUGAUUCUUCUUCUGAAACAGUAGAAACAAGAAACACAAGCAAUCACUUUCCUUCAGGAUUCUUAAAAGGACAGUUAUUUUAUUCUCUCUAAGGUUGUUUGUCAAAUAACCACUGUCGUUUUCUAUGGGGUACAGGUAGACCUGUACCAUUUCCACAAUAUAUUAACAGCAUAUUACUGUCUUGUUAAUAAAGCAUAUAUAUAGCAGUCAGCCAUAACUUUUAAACAUAUUCCCUGUCUUAUAUUUAGGACACAGAUGAAUACUAUGCAGCAUCAGGAAGCCAUUAGUUCCACAAGCUUGUAGGCCACAAGGAGCCUUAAGAAUGAGCUGAUCUGGCUGACAGAAUUAAAGCAACAUAUAA